rnacentral:rRNA from 1 species
AGUACCGUGAGGGAAAGGGGAAAAGAACCCCGGGAGGGGAAGUGAAGUGGNUCCUGAAACCGCAUGCUUACAAAAAGUAGGAGCCUGGAAANCGGGUGACUGCGUACCUUUUGUAUAAUGGGUCAGCGACUUACAUUCAGUGGCAAGGUUAACCGAAUAGGGGAAGCCGUAGAGAAAUCGAGUCCGAAUAGGGGCGAAAUUAGUCGCUGGGGUGUAGACCCCGAAACCCAAGUGAUCUAUCCAUGGCCAGGAUGAAGGUGAGGUACCACUCACUGGGAGGACCGAACGGGUUGUCUGUUGAAAAAGACUCCGAUGACUUUGUGGUUAGGGGUGAAAGGCCNAAUCAAACUGGGAAAUAGCUGGUUCUCCGCGNAAAGAUAUUUAGGUUAUCGCCUCGGAUGAAUGCCUCAGGGGGUAGAGCACUGGAAUGGGCCUAGGGGGACUUUACCGUCUUUACCAAACCCAACCAAACUUCCGAAUACCUUGAGAGCAAUAUCCCGGGGAGUCACCACGGCGGGGUGCUAACGUCCGUCGUGGAGAGGGAAACAACCCGGACCUACAGCUAAGGCCCCUAAUUCGUGGCUAAGUGGGAAAGGANCNNNAAAUCCCAAAACAACCAGGAGGUUGGCUUAGAAGCAGCCAU